rnacentral:lncRNA from 1 species
UACAGGUUCUGGGCACAUCUCAUUGAUGGAGCAACUCUAAGCAAUCCCCUAGUUCAGCUUCACCCCGGCCCUCCCCUCCUUCCCACUUCUGCCCUCGCUGCUGCAAGAUGCCCCCUCUGCACGAGUGACAUCCCCCACCACCCUGGUCCUCCCUGGCUGUUGAGGAGGUUCAGCAUCUCACCUGAGCACAGGACCCUCCUGCAGGGCCAGCACCAUGUGCUCUGGGAGAUGGCACAAGCAGCAGGAGAAGAUGUGGAGAUGAUCCUCGUUUCUUAAAGCCUGAAGCAUAAAGCUCUCUGUUAAUGCCAGCGCUGCAUGUUUUCCUUCUGUGCACACAAACACGGUUUUUCAUUGAUUAAAAUAACUCUGAAGAA